rnacentral:rRNA from 1 species
AUUGAACGCUGGCGGCGUGCCUUACACAUGCAAGUCGAACGGUAACAGGUCUUCGGAUGCUGACGAGUGGCGAACGGGUGAGUAAUGCAUCGGAACGUGCCCAGUAGUGGGGGAUAGCCCGGCGAAAGCCGGAUUAAUACCGCAUACGACCUGAGGGUGAAAGGGGGGGAUCGCAAGACCUCUCGCUAUUGGAGCGGCCGAUGUCAGAUUAGCUAGUUGGUGGGGUAAAGGCCUACCAAGGCAACGAUCUGUAGUUGGUCUGAGAGGACGACCAGCCACACUGGGACUGAGACACGGCCCAGACUCCUACGGGAGGCAGCAGUGGGGAAUUUUGGACAAUGGGCGCAAGCCUGAUCCAGCAAUGCCGCGUGCAGGAAGAAGGCCUUCGGGUUGUAAACUGCUUUUGUCAGGGAAGAAAUCUUCUGGGUUAAUACCUCGGGAGGAUGACGGUACCUGAAGAAUAAGCACCGGCUAACUACGUGCCAGCCGCCGCAGUAAAAC